AUGAGUUGGAAGCGACCUGCAUCGGUUCCAGUGGGACAGGUGUGGAGCAGGUUUCAGGGCUGAGACAGAGAUGGGAAACCAGCUCGCAUGUACCAAAUUCGUGACAUGGAUGAAAGGUGGCGGAAGCAGUGCCUGGACAUGAUGCAGAAGACAUUUAUUGACGAUGAACCAUUGUGUCAAAUAUUGGAGAUCGAAAAGGAUCCAGCUUCUAUACAAACGAUCAGAUCAAACUGGGAAGACAUAGCAGACCAAGGUCUCUGCAUUGCCUGCUUUACCGAGGAGCUAGGACAGCCUAAAGACCUGGUGGGUUUUAACAUAUUGUUGGUGAAGAGCCGGGAAGAUGCUGAGGAAAAUUUCGAUACUAUAAAGGGUGAACAAUGGAAGAAACUGCUGAGGACACUGAUAGUGGCUGAACAGCUUGUGGACGUUUUUAACCUUUUCAACGUAGACCAGAUCUUAACUUCCAGUGGAUUGACGGUUCUACCUGAACACCGAGGACAGAACAUAGGCGCCAGGAUAAUUGCGGCGAGAGAGCAAAUAUGCAAGACGUUCAACAUUUAUGGCGUAGCAACGGUUUUCACUGCGAUCACCUCACAAGUUCUGGCUGCCAAAUGUGGCUAUCAUACCCUGGCGGAGUUGAAAUAUGAAGACAUGAAACCAUACGGGAUAGACCUCACCCGAUGCACCACUAAAAGCGCAAAAUUAAUGGGAAUAAAGUAUACAUUUUAGAGCAAACAUUAAUAAAAGAAUUUGUCUACUAUCAUUUAGAACUUAUCAUACUCAGCAAGGGGGGGGGGUCCUUAGAUUUUGUGACGAAAUAUUUCUAGGGGGGGUCACAAAAAGUGUGACACAGCGUGACAAUGGGGCGGAGGGGGUCAAAAAAAGCUGAUUUCAGUGUGACGUGUUUUAUGAACGGCCCCU